AUUUCACCUUUGACCAUGCUUCGCUCAGGCGCACCUGAAAGCUUCCUUUUCAGAUUUUUCAAUGGAUUCACCGCGACCACUCGGCAGCUCCUCCGUGAGAAGUGUGAACAAAAAGAACAUGCGCAUAUACUGCUGCUUUAGGUAUUUUCACAACCGCGAAGGGGAUGUCGGCAUCAAAUUGUGCCGCUUCCCUUCAAGAAUGUGGGGAGAAACCCGGCGGCUGAAGGUGGAUCGUCGUGGUUCGGGCCGUCAACGGUGAUGACCUCUCACACUGGAGCCCGAAUGACAACACCAGAAUAUGCUCGAGGCUCUUUGUCAACGGAGAAAAAAGCUCCAUAAAGAAUCAUUCAAGUUACCUUCCAACUCGCCAAAACCUCGACAAAUGUGAUAAGCAAGGCACGCUCGAAGUAUACUGAAGCUACAAAUGAAAGUUGAAAAACGUCUACGGCCGUAUUUGCCCACUUAAGCGGAAUAAAUU